rnacentral:rRNA from 1 species
AGAGUUUGAUUCUGGCUCAGAACGAACGCUGGCGGCGUGGAUAAGACAUGCAAGUCGAACGAGAGAAUUGCUAGCUUGCUAAUAAUUCUCUAGUGGCGCACGGGUGAGUAACACGUGAGUAACCUGCCCCCGAGAGCGGGAUAGCCCUGGGAAACUGGGAUUAAUACCGCAUAGAAUCGCAAGAUUAAAGCAGCAAUGCGCUUGGGGAUGGGCUCGCGGCCUAUUAGUUAGUUGGUGAGGUAACGGCUCACCAAGGCGAUGACGGGUAGCCGGUCUGAGAGGAUGUCCGGCCACACUGGAACUGAGACACGGUCCAGACACCUACGGGUGGCAGCAGUCGAGAAUCAUUCACAAUGGGGGAAACCCUGAUGGUGCGACGCCGCGUGGGGGAAUGAAGGUCUUCGGAUUGUAAACCCCUGUCAUGUGGGAGCAAAUUAAAAAGAUAGUACCACAAGAGGAAGAGACGGCUAACUCUGUGCCAGCAGCCGCGGUAAUACAGAGGUCUCAAGCGUUGUUCGGAAUCACUGGGCGUAAAGCGUGCGUAGGCUGUUUCGUAAGUCGUGUGUGAAAGGCGCGGGCUCAACCCGCGGACGGCACAUGAUACUGCGAGACUAGAGUAAUGGAGGGGGAACCGGAAUUCUCGGUGUAGCAGUGAAAUGCGUAGAUAUCGAGAGGAACACUCGUGGCGAAGGCGGGUUCCUGGACAUUAACUGACGCUGAGGCACGAAGGCCAGGGGAGCGAAAGGGAUUAGAUACCCCUGUAGUCCUGGCAGUAAACGGUGCACGCUUGGUGUGCGGGGAAUCGACCCCCUGCGUGCCGGAGCUAACGCGUUAAGCGUGCCGCCUGGGGAGUACGGUCGCAAGAUUAAAACUCAAAGAAAUUGACGGGGACCCGCACAAGCGGUGGAGUAUGUGGCUUAAUUCGAUGCAACGCGAAGAACCUUACCUGGGCUUGACA